UCGUGGGGGAGUAACGCAGCGAAAGCUGUGCUAAUACCGCAUACGAUCUACGGAUGAAAGCAGGGGAUCGCAAGACCUUGCGCGAAUGGAGCGGCCGAUGGCAGAUUAGGUAGUUGGUGAGGUAAAGGCUCACCAAGCCUUCGAUCUGUAGCUGGUCUGAGAGGACGACCAGCCACACUGGGACUGAGACACGGCCCAGACUCCUACGGGAGGCAGCAGCU
rnacentral:rRNA from 1 species